UAAGGAAUAUUGGACAAUGCCCGCAAGGGUGAUCCAGCCAUCCCGCGUGCAGGAAGACUGCCCUAUGGGUUGUAAACUGCUUUUAUCAGGGAAGAAACCCCUUGACUUGUUAAGGGUUGACGGUACCUGAUGAAUAAGCACCGGCUAACUCCGUGCCAGCAGCCGCGGUAAUACGGAGGGUGCAAGCGUUAUCCGGAAUCACUGGGUUUAAAGGGUGCGUAGGCGGCUUAAUAAGUCAGAGGUGAAAGACUACAGCUUAACUGUGGCACUGCCUUUGAUACUGUUGAGCUGGAAUCAGGUUGAAGUUAGUGGAAUGCGGCAUGUAGCGGUGAAAUGCAUAGAUAUGUCGUAGAACACCGAUUGCGAAGGCAGCUAACUGGGCUUGAAUUGACGCUGAGGCACGAAAGCGUGGGGAUCGAACAGG
rnacentral:rRNA from 1 species